AGCAGCAGCAGCAGCUUGUCCUCACCACACACCUUGUCAAACUUGUCAGUCAUGGGCCUGCACUAAAUGUCAGCAGCUCACAUGGACAGCAUCACCGGCAGAAUGGACAAAAACGGCAUCAAAUCAAUGGAGGUGUUGGUGAGUGAGCUGGGAGUACUGCUGAAGAUGCUGGACCAGGAGAACCUCAGCUCCUCCACCCAGGAGAAGAAGACGUCUGUGUGGAACCUCCUACAGCAGAUACAGCCAUCAGUUUCAGGAGCAGACUUCAUCUACAUGAACUCAGCAGUUUACAGAAAUGGCACCAGCUUUGUAGAAUCCCUCUUUGAGACGUUUGACUGUGAACUUGGAGACCUGAAGGAUGUUACUGACGAUCUGAAAGAAGACAAGAACACAGAAACAGACACUUUAAAUCAGCAGAACUGUGCGGACUCUGCAGCCCCACGUUCAGCAGACUCUCCUCCCCCUCUGCCCACAACGCCUCCUCCUGAGGAGUACUAUGAGGAGGCAGUGCCCCUCAGUCCUGGCAUGAUGCCCGAAUACAUCAUCACACGAGUCAGGCCCAGUCCUCCCAAUUCUAUAGAAGAUGGGUAUGAAGAUACUGAAAACAACUACCCCACUACCUGCAUAAACUCUCACCGCAAAAACUCUUACAAUGAUUCUGAUGCCUUGAGCAGUUCCUAUGAGUCUUACGAAGAGGAUGAGGAAGAGAGGGGCCCUGGCGUCCAACUCACCCAUCAGUGGCCCUCAGACGAGAGCUCCAUGCCUCCCGCCAGAGACUGUCGCAUCUGUGCCUUCCUGCUGCGCAAGAAACGCUUCGGCCAAUGGGCCAAACAGCUCACAGUCAUACGGGAGAACAGACUACAGUGUUAUAAGAGUUCUAAGGACACAUACCCCUAUGUAGACCUGCUGCUGCCCCAGUGCACUGUGGUCUAUGCACCCAAAGACAGCAAAAGAAAGCACCAUGAACUCCGGUUCACAUUACCCAACGGAGAUGCACUCGUGCUGGCGGUACAAAGCAAGGAGCAGGCCCAGAGAUGGCUUAGGGUUGUUCGAGAGGUGAGUGGUCAGAGCGCAGGGCCUGAGGAUUCUGCAUCUCCUGUCGGUCCAAGAAAAACCGAACUUGACAAGAGGUUAUCUGCUGAAAGGAACACAUCAGAUUCAGACAGUGUGGGUGUGUCAGCUGGAGACGCCUGCAGAGAGAAUGGGAAGGUUAAACGGGGGCCUUUUGCUGCAGGCCGUAAAAUAACACGCAUCAUCAGCUUCUCCAAAAAGAAGACCCCUCGGCCUGGGGAUCCCCAGACAUCGUACAGCGACCCUCGGCAAGGAUACCUGUCAGUGCUGCUGAAUCAGGUGUGGCGUGAACAGUGGUGUUGUGUGUGCAGAGGCUCUCUUCAGUUCUAUCAUGACAAAGGAGACUCUCGGACUUCCCUGCCUUCUCUCCCUCUCCAAGGCUGCGAGGUGGUGCCAGGGCUGGGACCCAAACAUCCCUUUGCCUUCCGAAUCCUGCGGAACAGCACAGAGGUGGCUGCUCUAGAGGCAAGCAGCUCUGAGGAGCUGGGAAGGUGGCUUGGUGUGCUCUUGGCAGAGACGGGCUCUGCAACAGAUCCAGAAUCAUUACAUUAUGACUAUGUUGACGUGGAAACAAUUUCUAACAUCUGCAAUGCUGCACGGCAUUCUUUCCUAUGGGCCACAUCUUCCAGCAGUACCUCCACAGACUCCAGAACAUAUGAUGAGGUCCCUAAUGAGGAUGUGCAGUCAGGGAAGAACUGCAGGCAGCAGAGUGGGAAUCAGGGGAAGCGGCGCUCAAGUUUCUCAAGCAGUGACUCAGACAGAACCAAACCAUUAGUCUCCCUCAAGCGAACAGGCUCAAAUGGCAACCAGUAUGGAAGAUAUGGGAAAACAAGAGCGGAGGAGGAUGCCAAGCGAUACCUGAAAGAAAAAGAGGAGCUGGAGAAAGAGAGGGAUGGGAUACGAAAUGCACUAGUGAUCCUCCGACAAGAGAAGAGAAAGUUGAAGGAAGAGCUGAAGACGGCCUCUGAUAAGAAGAUAGCAGACAGGAGGAAGUCCUUCCUGAACAAGCAUGUGACCCAGCUGGAGGAAGCCUGUCGAGCUAAAGAGGCAGAAAGGGUGGACCUGGAGCUCCGACUGACCCAGGUCAAGGAAAACCUGAAGAAGAGCCUGGCAGGUGGAGUAUUGGGUGCACCAGCCGAGGCUAAACCAAGCGCUAAGACCUUCAGCAGAAAGACCCAGAAUCUUUACAGCGAGUCUUUACCAGUGAACUGUGCUGCAGAGAUGCGCAGGAGACCUCCAUCUGUUUAUGCUUCUUCCACAGGAACUGUCAUGCAAAAGGCAAAGGUACGAGUGAGCUGUUUUCCCUUUUUCAUGUGCACUCCUUAAAUAAUUCCUCAGGCAACUUUUUGGACAGAUUUCUCUUGUCAGGCUUCACAGGAGGUUAAUGGAAUCACAGCAGCACACAACAUAAACACAUGCGUAUGGAUGAAUUCUGUGUGAUCACAUGGUAUUACUUUAUUGAACUAUGUCUGCUGUCACAGCUCAGCUCACAAAAUCUUUAACUACUGUGAAUGAUAACACCAGGUCAGGGUAACCUUGCUGUUGAGUACAAUAUAAACAACUGCAUUGACAGGUUGUUGUCAUUUUCACAGUGAUUUACUUUUAUGCACCUUUACUUGGUAAUUUAUUUACUUUUAUGCACAGAAGAAAAGAUGUGGGUAUGGUACUGUGGACCACAAAGGCACAAACAGUCAGAAAUAACUGUCUGAAGAAGUUAGCAGCCUUGUGUUUAGUAUUUUGACAGUGUGUGAACAUGCACAGAAAAAUAUGCACAUUCAGUCAGCAGAUGUUUGAGAGGAAGCAGAAGAGCAACAACAAGGACGUGCUCCAUGUACUGUACUGAUGUCUCAUAACAUCAGACACCCUCACUCAGGAAACCCAGCCAGGGUUGAAAGACCUCGACUUGUGUCCCAGCAGCACUGUCUGCUUCUCAGACCUUUUUAUCCAAAUCCACCUCAAGGCUCCUUUGUGGACUUUAAGGCUCCCCUCUUUGCAGCUCCUGUGAUGCCAAGGAGGGUGUAGGUCUUGCAUAAGGAGCGGGCAGCAAAGCUUCUACAUCCCACAUCUAAGGGCUCACAGUGAGCUUUCCAGCCCCUUCUUCAGCAUUCCUCAACAAGCUCGUGGUACUUGAGCUGCUUGCGCUCACUGGCCUCUUCCAUGCGGUCCUCCCAGGAGACUGUCAGCUCCAAUAAGAGGACCUGCUUAGAAGAAGCAGAUGUCAGCAUCACUUCUGGCCUCAAGGAGGUUGGUGUCACAUCAUCUGGUUACUUGAGCUGCCUUCUCAAGUCAACCUGCAGUUUCCAGUCUGAUGCCGAUGAGAGCGGGCUGGCUGAUGGUGUUAGCUGUGGUCGUGGCUUCUCUCCAGCCCUUACAAAGAAGAUUAUCAUCUGGCUGCGGAUGUGUCUGUUGUUGGCCACUGCACCAGAAAUGGCCUCAGCCACUGGUUUCAGCACCUGGUCAUGCCACCAGCGGUAAUGGCCCUCUCCAAGGACUUUAGGGCAGCUGCUCAGGAUGUGUCCCAGUGUACCCUUUCCAGGGCAUAGGGGACAUGUUGAAAUGUCACUCUUGCCACAAACAUGCAGGUUAUCUGGGCUGGCUAGGAUGUAAACAGACUGGACCAUAAACUUGAUGCACUGUGGUUCUGCCUGCCAGAUGUCAGUCCAGGUCAGCUUCCUCUCCAGAGCUCCUUUUAAACCUCGUUCAUGCCCCCUGCUGCUACAUUCUCACCAUCCUGCUGGUUCUCUUCUCUUCAACACCUACCCACACCUCCUCCAGGUCUAGAUGGCAUCUGUUCUUGCUGUGGGCUGUUAGGUAUUUUUGUACCAUGGCUGUGGGAUGGUUCCACUUCUUGCCAGUCCACACCACGAUGCCCACUGAUGCUACUUUGAAGUCACUGGAGUCUUGUUAAAUUAGUGCCUCUCUUGUGGAGGAAACCCUGAACUCCUCCUCCAGGCCCCUGAGCUGAAGUUUAUUGCUCCUCCAGUGCAGUGCUGUGCUACUGGGACUGCAAAUUGUUUGGGCUGUUUAUUGCAAGUUUGUUUCAUUUUGUCCAAACAAAAUAUCAUUUUAAUAAACAGUGUCAUUUUAAUUUUAAACAAAUCUGUUCAAAUCUACUGACAACUUUAAAUGUUAGUCUGUAUCAUUGUUCCGAUUAGAAAAAAUAUUUGUGUCAGAGCUUGUAAAUAUAAAAAUGAUGUUUUUAAUAUUUUUGCCAUUUUGCUAUGUUGAGCUGGAAAUAUUUGAAAGUUGAUUUUAUGUGCAUGUUUGUGUUACAGCAUGUCAAUGUAACUGAAAUAGGUUAAUUUGGUUCCACGUAUGGUUUGUCUUAUUUCCAGCAUUAUCUUAUUGCUUAUUUGUAAGUUUUACCUAAACUCAAAACUGAUCUUUAGAAUGAUAACUAAAUUUCCCAUUAAAUCACCUACUUGCUUUCUGUUUCUACAGGAAUGGGAGACAAAAAAAGGAAGGUAAGCGUAGCAUCAUGGCCAGGAGUGAAGGAAACACUAAGGGAAAUUCAUGCUUUGUGCUCACAUGGACACGAAUAGGGGCGCGCACGCGUCGCUAUUCAUACUUCAAAUAGAGAGACUGGCUUCUGUCCACGUACGCCGAUGGUUUCCAAGCAUUGUAGCACCUGUGCAGUCGGGGCUUUCGCUUUGCGGAUGUCUGCACACAUAGAGUCCCACGGACCCUCGUGGACCUGGCAAGGUAACGCAAAUUACGUCACUCGACCUUCGCGGACAUGCGGAUGCGCAAAGCAUGAAUUACCUGAGACUUUUGCAGCAUUUCAUCCCAGUAAGGAUAACUUUUCAGCUACAUCACAAAGCACGGACUUGGUUUAUUUGGGAUUAGAAGAAGGUAGCUGUAAUGAACGGACUCAACCACUAGGUGGAGGAUUUAUUGUUCAUCAUCAUCAUAAGACCAAACGGCAUGGGUGGAUUCAGCACUGUGCCAUGGAGGAUACCGCACUAUUUUUAUGACUGUACUUAUUAGCUUCUCCUCUCAGGUUGAAGCUAUUCAGUGAAUCCAUCUGCUGAAUUGCUUAGUAGAAACAAAAACCUACAGUGACUAACAAAGUGGUGCUCUUUAGUCAUACAAAUUUCUUUUCGGAGUGAGGAAAUCU